GGCCCAUUAGCUCAGUUGGUAGAGCAACUGACUCUUAAUCAGUGGGUCAGAGGUGCAAGUCCUCUAUGGGUCACCA
rnacentral:tRNA from 1 species